CCGAGAUCAUCGUUUUCAUCGAUCGCGCUGCUCAAGAUCUCUCAGAGCCUUCGUCCUCCUCCUCAAUCUCCCCUCUUGCAACGGCGUCACCCGCUCUCGAAACCCUAGCUCUCCCCCGCUUUCACCCCAACCUCGCGAUCGCCUCCUCUCCUCGAUCCUCCCUCUCGAUCCGCGGCGGCGAACUAGGUUUCGGUGAGAGAUCUCUUCCCCUAUUCACAGGACUUAGCGUUUCUCGCCGUUUCCAGAAGGUUCGAUCAGCGGUGGCAGGUUCGACGGAUCCGAAGCCCGAUCGCCGUGGCUCGGUGAUCUCCGAGGUUCAGGAGACUGCCGCCGAGGUGCACAGUUUUUCCCUCGGGUAAAGAAGAAGAAGAUUUGAGAGGGCUGUUAGCGCGCAUUUUAGAGUUGACAGCAUUGGCGACUUACCGAAGCUGGUGGAAGACAUUAUUCAGACGUCAAUAAAGACAGGACCUAGGGGUGCAAUAAGAUUAGCUCAAGGCGUACAAGCUGUUAUUGGGGUCGGUGGGGAGUGGCUUAGUGACUUGUCAAAGAUGCGGACAGUUCCUGACAAAUCGUUCAUGAGCAUACCACGUGAUCGAAGACAUCUAGACACCCGGUACAAGGAUGGGAUAGAAGCUUUCUUAGCCUACUCUGACAAAAAUCCUCUACGGUCGCUAAGCGGGUCGAUUUUCUGUCCUUGUAAGAAUUGCAGGAACGGUAAAAUGCUUGCUAGGAGUGACGUAAGUUUUCAUCUGUCAAUCAAUGGAUUUGAUAGCUCUUAUGUAUUUUGGAGUCAUCACGGUGAAGGCGUCCCGGUGAUGCAAUCAGAGGAAGAAUUCACUGAAGUCAGCAAUCCGACAGUUAUAGUAUGCUAUUGAUAAUACUAUUGGCAAUGUCAUUACUUUUCCUCUUUAUCUUAUUAUUCACAAUUUUCUAAUGUAAGUCCUCUUUUGCUAGUCACUCAAUUGACUCUAUUUUAUUUU